rnacentral:rRNA from 1 species
UACAGAGGGUGCGAGCGUUAAUCGGAAUUACUGGGCGUAAAGGGCGCGUAGGCGGAUAUUUAAGUGAGAUGUGAAAUCCCCUGGGCUUAACCUAGGAACUGCAUCUUAUACUGGAUGUCUAGAGUAUUGUAGAGGGUAGUGGAAUUUCCGGUGUAGCGGUGAAAUGCGUAGAGAUCGGAAGGAACACCAGUGGCGAAGGCGGCUACCUGGACAAAUACUGACGCUGAGGCGCGAGAGCGUGGGGGAGCAAACAGGA